rnacentral:rRNA from 1 species
AUUGAACGCUGGCGGCGUGCUUAACACAUGCAAGUCGAUCGGUAACGCGGGGGCAACCCUGGCGACGAGAGGCGGACGGGUGAGGAACGCUUGGGAAUCUGCCUAUCAGCGGGGGACAACCCGGGGAAACUCGGGCUAAUACCGCAUACGCUCUACGGCGGAAAGCCGGGGACCGCAAGGCCUGGCACUGAUAGAUGAGCCCAAGUCGGAUUAGCUAGUUGGCGGGGUAACGGCCCACCAAGGCGACGAUCCGUAGCUGGUCUGAGAGGACGAUCAGCCACACCGGAACUGAGACACGGUCCGGACUCCUACGGGAGGCAGCAGUGGGGAAUAUUGGACAAUGGGCGAAAGCCUGAUCCAGCGACGCCGCGUGGGUGAAGAAGGCCUGCGGGUUGUAAAGCCCUUUCGGUAGGGACGAAAACUCUCGACUUAAUACGUCGAGGGAUUGACUUAACCUACAUAAGAAGCACCGGCUAACUCUGUGCCAGCCGCCGCGGUAAUAC